CUCCUACUGGAGGCAGCAGUGAGGAAUAUUGGUCAAUGGGCGCAGGCCUGAACCAGCCAAGUAGCGUGAAGGAUGACUGCCCUAUGGGUUGUAAACUUCUUUUAUAUGGGAAUAAAGUUUUCCACGUGUGGAAUUUUGUAUGUACCAUAUGAAUAAGGAUCGGCUAACUCCGUGCCAGCAGCCGCGGUAAUACGGAGGAUCCGAGCGUUAUCCGGAUUUAUUGGGUUUAAAGGGAGCGUAGGUGGACAGUUAAGUCAGUUGUGAAAGUUUGCGGCUCAACCGUAAAAUUGCAGUUGAUACUGGCUGUCUUGAGUACAGUAGAGGUGGGCGGAAUUCGUGGUGUAGCGGUGAAAUGCUUAGAUAUCACGAAGAACUCCGAUUGCGAAGGCAGCUCACUGGACUGCAACUGACACUGAUGCUCGAAAGUGUGGGUAUCAAACAGGAUUAGAUACCCUGGUAGUCCACACAGUAAACGAUGAAUACUCGCUGUUUGCGAUAUACAGUAAGCGGCCAAGCGAAAGCAUUAAGUAUUCCACCUGGGGAGUACGCCGGCAACGGUGAAACUCAAAGGAAUUGACGGGGGCCCGCACAAGCGGAGGAACAUGUGGUUUAAUUCGAUGAUACGCGAGGAAUCUUACCCGGGCUUAAAUUGCAAAUGAAUAAUCUGGAAACAGGUUAGCCGCAAGGCAUUUGUGAAGGUGCUGCAUGGUUGUCGUCAGCUCGUGCCGUGAGGUGUCGGCUUAAGUGCCAUAACGAGCGCAACCCUUAUCUUUAGUUACUAACAGGUCAUGCUGAGGACUCUAGAGAGACUGCCGUCGUAAGAUGUGAGGAAGGUGGGGAUGACGUCAAAUCAGCACGGCCCUUACGUCCGGGGCUACACACGUGUUACAAUGGGGGGUACAGAAGGCAGCUACCUGGUGACAGGAUGCUAAUCCCAAAAGCCUCUCUCAGUUCGGAUCGAAGUCUGCAACCCGACUUCGUGAAGCUGGAUUCGCUAGUAAUCGCGCAUCAGCCAUGGCGCGGUGAAUACGUUCCCGGGCCUUGUACACACCGC
rnacentral:rRNA from 1 species